AGCCCUGAGGCACCGGCUGUGGAGACAGAGCGUGCUGCUGAGGGGACUGCUGGUGGUGCAUGUGAGCCAUGCUGCAUCAUAGUGGACAGCUGCUCUUAUGGGGCGGAACUGGAGGCAGCAUCGGAUGGAGCUGUAAAACACAUGCCAGAUUUUGAGGAGGAGACAGAGAGGUGGCCACAGCGUGUGAUUGCUGCUGUACGUCAGCGUAGAGCUCCACCGAAAAGGCAGCGGCAAGAGACGGACACAGAGAAGGCUGCACCACUGCUCCCCCCAUCACCAGCUGCUCUGGGCCUGCCACUUCCAGGACUGUUGGCUUAUUCAAUGGGGAAGUAGAGGAUGACGACAACACCACCAUCAUCCUAAAUUCCUUGGAGUAUACGCUGCAUGUGUCACAGCCACAGCAGCCACAACCUCCACUGCCCAGGCCACAGCCCAACAUUUCCAAUGUGGAGGAGAUCAACAUCUCCCUCCACCAAUUGCGUGAACACCACUUGGCAUUUAUGGAGCACCAGACGAACCAGCUGGACUACAUUGGGCUGCAAAUGCAGCGGAUGAAUAGAAUGCGGCAGUGGCACAGGGCACACACACCCAGAUGGGUUUGCAGAUCAAUAAUUGCAGGAAUUGACCCAGGCCACACAGGUGCGGAUGCAGGUGGCCCAGGAUCAACUGCAGGCAACCCGGGAGGAUGUGCAGGCCAUCCGGGACCAAACCCAGAUGUUUUUGGCCCUGCAGAGGGAGCUGGCAGCUCAAAUAGCAGUCCGUGAAGGGCCAACUACAAAAACAGCCAGCUUCCUCCACUCCGGCACACAGAGUGGCUCACCAGUCGGCCCCCACAAACAUAGUGCCCGCAGGUGGUGGGGCUUUGAGGGGUCAAGGGGCUUCCUCCUCCCAAGGUUUUUCGUUUUUCCCCUUUGUUUUCUUUCGAACAACUAUAUUCUGUUGACAUUUUUGCCCAUUUUUUCAAAAUUAAGU